GCAUCGAUGAAGAACGCAGCGAAAUGCGAUAAGUAAUGUGAAUUGCAGAAUUUCAGUGAAUCAUCGAAUCUUUGAACGCACAUUGCGCCCAUUAGUAUUCUAGUGGGCAUGCCUGUUCGAGCGUCAUU
rnacentral:rRNA from 1 species